GGGUGGUUGCCCGAGGCUGGGGAGAGGGGCGCAGAGAGCGACUGCUUAACAGAUAUGGGGUUUUCUUUUGGGGUGAUGAAGAUGUUUUGGGUCUUAAUAUACUGAGUGGUUGGGCAACAUUAUGAACAUACUAAGUGCCACUGAAUCGUACACUUUAAAACAGUUACUUUUAUGUUAUCAGGAUUUCACCUCAAUACAGUUUUUUUUAAAAAAGCUAAUAUUCUUGGGCACGUGGAUUCUUCCAUGCAAUUCCAGACCAAUGGCCUGGACCCCAAGGCCUUGCAAGGUGUCUUCUUUCAGGGCCUCCAAAGCCCAGGCUUUCAACCACCACCCUGGGAUCCCCCUCAUCUGUGAACAAGGCUCGGGGACAUGCCGGCCGCCAGCACCUCCUCACCCAGAGAGCUCAGCGCAAGGGCCUCUCCGACCUCGGAACUCCAGGGGCCCCCAGUCCACUUCCCAACAACUCACCUUGUGCAUCAGAUUGGUAGUGACGCAGGGGUGAGUGAGAAGCAGGGCAGGGACCCUCGGCUGCUGUCCUCCCCUGUGUCCUCGGCACCUGGCAGCAUCCCCACUCAAUCCCCCAGUGCUGCUGGGGCCCAAUUUCUGAUAACGGCAAUGAUUCUGGGGAGGAAAUAGGCAGUGAUUUGGGAGGAAAACAGAGUUUAAGUGUCAAUAAUUUAAAAGAUACGAGGCAUUGAUCCUGUCCGCGGUAAUGGGGCUGUCAGCUGGCACUGCGCAGGAUCCGAGCCCUCCGCCGUGCCCGACGCCGCGGCGAGCCCAGGCGGGCGCAUGUGUCCCCUUCCCCUCCAGAAGACCGGCCCGCGGGGACUGGCGAGCUCCGGGAAUCGCGCCUCGGGGCGGGGGCCUUCUCGCUCCCGCUUUGAUCGCUGGAGGCGCGGGCUGGUUCAGAGGCCGGUUGCAGGGGUCCGCGCCGAGGAGACCCGCCCCCACCCGCGGCGACACGGAGGCCAGGGCGCCCGCGCCUGGCGCCGCGCCCUGCUCGGUGCCCGCCCGGGCCCACCUCUCCGGGCACGCUGCCAAGUGACCCGCCCCAUCAGUCCCCAGGUCUCCCGAGGAAGGAAACAAAGAUUGAAAAUGAAACCCUACCCAGCGGGGCGCUUCCACGUUGGGCUGGUUUGCUGUUUGGGGGUUCUCCAUGCUCCCCCAGCUUGGGCGGGGAGGAGCACAGUUGAGAGCCGAUGCCAGGCUCCCCUCCUGCUCUCCCUGCGCCCCAGGGAGCACGGCCCACCAAGCCGGGGGAAGCCCACCGGGACCCGCAGUUACUUUUAUUGAUUUUCUGGUGAUGUGACAACCAAAAAUGGAGGCGUGGUGCGCAGUAGAAAAAGGCCAGGCGAUGCAGAAGAUGCAAGAAAACAAACCUCCGAAACAAAGGCGUGCACCCAGCUUAGACAUUCCCAGGCGGGCUUGGAAUUUUCCAGCCCUUGGAAAGUCUCUUUCUUUCAAGUCGAAGCUUUUGACCAAAGCUGUCGGUUUCCUCCAAGCCAUUUCACUGAACCUGUCUCCAAAAAUCACUUUGUAAACAAAGGCAAAGCCAGGGGCUGACCCAAGGUCCGCGAGCAGCAGCAAGGCUGACAUAUUUUAGACAAAUCACAGCGGCCAACUUCCUGUCGGGCCCCAUCUCUCCGGGGACACCCCGCCUCCACCUCUGCCCGAUUCAGGUAACUGGAUGGAUGGAACCUCCUUCACGGCCUCUCCCAGCCGAACUCCUCAUAACCCAAUGCAUAAAUAAUCACAUGUUUUAUAAAUAGCUGUGGACAAGAGGCUGUAAACCAACGAAGAUAUAUUUGUGCCUUUAUGUCCUGGAAAUAUUUUUCUAAAACGACUGUUUUAUUUGGUGUGGGUUGAAUGGGGGCGUGUGUAUACAUAAGGAUCCCCAAAGUUUUGCCGUGCCCCCCCUCAGGUCAGACCAGCCCUAUAGUUAGCAAAUUGAUAAGGUUCCAUGGGCAAGCUUUAUUCGCUCUGACACGAGCCUAUGACACUUUAUAAAAAGAAGUAAUCCAGAACAAUCUCUAGGUAAUUAACACCUAGAUAAACAAACAUAAAUUUCUAUAUUGCAUUUAUUUGGACUACCACUCAAAUAUGCGUGAACCAUGCUUUUUUAAUUAAAAGAUAAAUCCAUGUGA